ensembl:lncRNA
GUUACGGCCCUGGUUCAGCCAAAGCACGAAAAUAUGGUAAGAUAUAUUUUGCACAUCUGUACCUUUAACAAACAUCUUGUUCUAUUAGGGCUAUAAUUUGAUCUCUCCAGGUCAGCCUGGUGGUGUGGGCACAGGUACAGCUGGAGGCCUGGGAGGAGGAGGACAAAGUGGACUAGGGCCUGGAUAUGGUUUUGGUCCAGGUGGAGCAGGUAUUGGUGCAGCUGGCGGCCUUGGAGGUGGAAGACCAGGGGAAGGUGUUGGCAUUGGCACUGGUGUGGGACCUGCCUCAGGGGUGGGAUUUGGUCCAGGUGGUGCUGGCAUUGGCCCGGGAGGAAUGGGUACUGGGCCUGGUGGAUAUGGAUAUGGCCCAGGUGGUACUGGCACCGGACUAGGAGGAGCAGGAACAGGACCUGGAGGUAGCUGUAGAGAAAAAUACAGCUAGAUUUAUACAACAAUAGAUGCUUAAGUUACUCAGUACAGCAUUCUGUCUAAUUUUCAUUACAAAGUCAAAAGUAUAACUAAUGUUUUUGUCUUUCAGGGUAUGAUGCCUCUGCCAAAGCUCGUAAAUAUGGUGAGCAAAUAAACACAACUGAAAAAUUGCAUUUGUUAUUGUUCUGUUAACAAAAAAUGUUGUACUGAUCCUCUCCUUAAAGGAAUGCUAAGCGGGGCACUUGGAGGUCCAGGUACAGGUACUGGAGCAGUCAGGCCCGGAGGUGCUGGUACAGGUUAUGGCCCAGGUGGAGUUGGACCUGGGGGUGCGGGUACUGGUUUUGGGCCAGGUGGAAUUGGACCCGGGGGUGUAGGUACUGGUUUUGGGCCAGGUGGAAUUGGACCCGGGGGUGUAGGUACUGGUUUUGGGCCAGGUGAAGUUGGACAUGGGGGUCCUGGUACAGGUUAUGGCCCAGGUGGAGUUGGACCAGGCAGUGUGGGUACUGGCUUUGGACCAGGGGGUGUAGGUACUGGUUUUGGACCAGGAGGCUUUGGAUCAAUUGGAGUUGGACCAGGAGGUGCCAGCGCUGGAUUUGGACCAGGUGCAGUUGGACCAGGAGGUGUCGGCACUGGAUUUGGAUCUGGUGGAGUUGGACCAGGAGGUACUGGCACAGGAUUUGGACCAGGUGGGGUUGGACCAGGAGGUGUCGGCACUGGAUUUGGACAAGGUGGAGUUGGACCAGGAGGCGCUGGCACUGGAUCUGGUCCAGGAGGAUUUGGACCAGGUGGAUUUGGACCUGGAGGUUAUGCUUCUGCCAAAGCCCGCAAAUAUGGUCUGCCUGGAGGUGCCCUUGGUACAGGAGCACUUGGACCUAGUUCUGGCCUUGGAGUAGGAGGAGGAAUCCCAGGAAGAGGCGUUAUACUAACAACUGGUGGAAGACCUGAAGGAGGACUGGGGACUGGUGGGCUUCCUGGUUCUGGUAUUGGAACAGGAGGUGGACCAAGUAGUUUCGGACCAGCCAGUACCGGAGGUACGAAAUACAAGUGUUCUAUAAAGUUCAUGGUCCCUGAACCCUUGACUAAAACUCCUUUUAAUAUCUUUUACCAUUUUAUAGGUGGUUAUGGGCCAGGAGGGUUUGGAACUGGCACUGGUCCAGGUCAGUUUUUAGAACAGGUUUAGUGUUUAUAGAAGUAUAAAUUAUUCUUUUACUGACCUCUAUUGGCUAACAGGAGGAUUUACAGUAAAAACAGUGAAUACAUUUAAAAACAGUAGUAAGG